AGGGGUUGUCAUGACCUCUGUGCCGCCGCUAACGCAUUAAGUAUUCCGCCUGGGGAGUACGGUCGCAAGAUUAAAACUCAAAGGAAUUGACGGGGGCCCGCACAAGCAGCGGAGCAUGUGGUUUAAUUCGAAGCAACGCGAAGAACCUUACCUAGACUUGACAUCUCCUGAAUUACCCUUAAUCGGGGAAGCCCUUCGGGGCAGGAAGACAGGUGGUGCAUGGUUGUCGUCAGCUCGUGUCGUGAGAUGUUGGGUUAAGUCCCGCAACGAGCGCAACCCUUAUUGUUAGUUGCUACCAUUUAGUUGAGCACUCUAGCGAGACUGCCCGGGUUAACCGGGAGGAAGGUGGGGAUGACGUCAAAUCAUCAUGCCCCUUAUGUCUAGGGCUACACACGUGCUACAAUGGCUGGUACAGAGAGAUGCUAAACCGUGAGGUGGAGCCAAACUUUAAAACCAGUCUCAGUUCGGAUUGUAGGCUGAAACUCGCCUACAUGAAGCUGGAGUUGCUAGUAAUCGCGAAUCAGAAUGUCGCGGUGAAUACGUUCCCGGGCCUUGUACACACCGCCCGUCACACCAUGAGAGUUGGCAAUACCCAAAGUUCGUGAGAUAACGCGCAAGCAGCGACCUAAGGUAGGGUCAGCGAUUGGGGUGAAGUGG
rnacentral:rRNA from 1 species